AAAAAGACAAACCCUGGUUUCCAUGUCCAACGUUUGACCGUCCGUCUUAUUUGAAAAAAUUAUGAAAGAAAUUAAAAAGACAAGUCACGCAUAAAAUAUUAAUCAUGUUUUAUCAUCUAACAACAAUGAAAAUACGAAUUAUAAAAAAAUUUCAUAUAAGACGGACAGUCAAAGUUGGACACGGAAAUN
rnacentral:pre_miRNA from 1 species